UACGUAGGGGGCUAGCGUUGCCCGGAAUCAUUGGGCGUAAAGCGCGCGUAGGCGGCUUUGCAAGUCGGGUGUGAAAUCCCCAGGCUUAACCUGGGAACUGCAUUCGAGACUGCAUUGCUAGAGUAUGGGAGAGGGAAGUGGAAUUUCCGAUGUAGCGGUGAAAUGCGUAGAUAUCGGAAGGAACAUCAGUGGCGAAAGCGACUUCCUGGACCAAUACUGACGCUCAUGUGCGAAAGCGUGGGGAGCAAACAGG
rnacentral:rRNA from 1 species